ACUCCUACGGGAGGCAGCAGUGGGGAAUAUUGCACAAUGGAGGGAACUCUGAUGCAGCGACGCCGCGUGAAGGAGGAAGGCUUUCGAGUUGUAAACUUCUUUGGGGAGGGACGAAGAUGACGGUACCUCCAGAACAAGCCACGGCUAACUACGUGCCAGCAGCCGCGGUAAU
rnacentral:rRNA from 1 species